CCUGGGGAGUACGGCCGCAAGGUUAAAACUCAAAUGAAUUGACGGGGGCCCGCACAAGCGGUGGAGCAUGUGGUUUAAUUCGAUGCAACGCGAAGAACCUUACCUGGUCUUGACAUCCACAGAACUUAGCAGAGAUGCUUUGGUGCCUUCGGGAACUGUGAGACAGGUGCUGCAUGGCUGUCGUCAGCUCGUGUUGUGAAAUGUUGGGUUAAGUCCCGCAACGAGCGCAACCCUUAUCCUUUGUUGCCAGCGGUCAGGCCGGGAACUCAAAGGAGACUGCCAGUGAUAAACUGGAGGAAGGUGGGGAUGACGUCAAGUCAUCAUGGCCCUUACGACCAGGGCUACACACGUGCUACAAUGGCAUAUACAAAGAGAAGCGACC
rnacentral:rRNA from 1 species